CGGAGGGUGCAAGCGUUAUCCGGAUUCACUGGGUUUAAAGGGUGCGUAGGUGGGCAAGUAAGUCAGUGGUGAAAUCUCCGGGCUUAACCCGGAAACUGCCAUUGAUACUAUUUGUCUUGAAUACUGUGGAGGUCAGCGGAAUAUGUCAUGUAGCGGUGAAAUGCUUGGAUAUGACAUAGAACACCAAUUGCGAAGGCAGCUGGCUACACAAAUAUUGACACUGAGGCACGAAAGCGUGGGGAUCAAACAGGAUUAGAUACCCUGGUAGUCCACGCCCUAAACUAUGGAUACUCGACAUUUGCGAUAAACUGCAAGUGUCUGAGCGAAAGCAUUAAGUAUCCCACCUGGGAAGUACGAUCGCAAGAUUG
rnacentral:rRNA from 1 species